rnacentral:rRNA from 1 species
AACGAACGCUGGCGGCAUGCCUAACACAUGCAAGUCGAACGAGACCUUCGGGUCUAGUGGCGCACGGGUGCGUAACGCGUGGGAACCUGCCCUUAGGUUCGGAAUAACUCCCCGAAAGGGGUGCUAAUACCGGAUAAUGUCUUCGGACCAAAGAUUUGUCGCCGUUGGAUGGGCCCGCGUUGGAUUAGCUAGUUGGUAGGGUAAAAGCCUACCAAGGCGACGAUCCAUAGCUGGUCUGAGAGGAUGAUCAGCCACACUGGGACUGAGACACGGCCCAGACUCCUACGGGAGGCAGCAGUGGGGAAUAUUGGACAAUGGGCGAAAGCCUGAUCCAGCAAUGCCGCGUGAGUGAUGAAGGCCUUAGGGUUGUAAAGCUCUUUUACCCGGGAUGAUAAUGACAGUACCGGGAGAAUAAGCUCCGGCUAACUCCGUG